GGAGUAAAUCAGAUAAUCGCGGGGCAAUAGCAACGAGGAAAGUCCGUGCACCACAGAGCAAGGAUGCUUGAUAACGUCAAGUAGGAGUGAUCCUCAGGCAAGUGCAACAGAAAGUAUACCGCCAAAUUUGGUAAGGUUGGAAUGGUGAGGUAAGAGCUCACCAGCUGUCCUAGUGAUAGGCAGGCUAUGUAAACCCCAUCCGGUGCAAGAACAAAAUGGACAUUAGGAGGCUUGCUCGGCCCAGUCCGGAAAUGGUAGUUCGCUUGAACUUGCUAGCAAUAGUAAGUCUAGAUAGAUGAUUAUCCACGACAGAACACGGCUUAUAGGUUUACUCUUUAC
rfam:Anaerococcus lactolyticus ATCC 51172 genomic scaffold SCAFFOLD4, whole genome shotgun sequence.